UACGUAGGGGGCAAGCGUUGUCCGGAUUUACUGGGCGUAAAGCGUGCGCAGGCGGUGAUGUAAGACAGAUGUGAAAUCCCCGGGCUCAACCUGGGAACUGCAUUUGUGACUGCAUCGCUGGAGUGCGGCAGAGGGGGAUGGAAUUCCGCGUGUAGCAGUGAAAUGCGUAGAUAUGUGGAGGAACACCGAUGGCGAAGGCAGCCCCGUGGGCUAACACUGACGCUCAUGCACGAAAGCGUGGGGAGCAAACAGG
rnacentral:rRNA from 1 species